AGGGGUGGGGGACACAAGACUCAAGCUGUUCUGGGGUUGUCCCCACCCUUCCCCUUCCUCCCACUGUUAGCAGGCACAGGCCAUCUAACCCAUCUAGGCAUUCCAAAUGGGCUGGAGCAAACAGCAUACAUCUGUGCUUUUCCCCUUUUUCUUCCCUUUCUCUUCCAUGCUGCAUAUUUGAGUGUGCAGGGGCUGAGAACAAUCACCAGUGGAGUCUCGGCCAUAGACAAGAACCAGACCCUUAAAUUCUCAAUGUAGGAAAGGACCAGAAACUAUAGAAGGCUAAUUUAUACAAAAUGUUUUUGCUCUGCAACAAGAAGUGUGGUAAACAGUCCUGCAGCUAUGGAGGCAGAAUGAAAACUGGUUCCCAAUAUCAGCAGCCAAAAUGACAUGUGUCAUAACUGGAGCUGAUAGCAACACCAACAGCAAUUCUGACUCAUGAGCAUCACCUCCAACCACUUCCUAUUCAUCUACAAAUAUGAUCAGCGGAAGUUGUUGAAACAAAUCUGCCUCAUCA